AUUGAACGCUGGCGGCAGGCCUAACACAUGCAAGUCGAGCGAGCGGCGGACGGGUGAGUAAUGUAUGGGGACUGCCCGAUAGAGGGGGAUAUCCACUCGAAACGGUGGCUAAGACCGCAUAAUGUCGGAUAACCCAUAUGGGAUUAGCUAGUAGGUAAGGGAAUGGCUUACCUAGGCGACGAUCCCUAGCUGGUCUGAGAGGAUGAUCAGCCACACUGGGACUGAGACACGGCCCAGACUCCUACGGAGGCAGCAGUGGGGAAUAUUGCACAAUGGGCGCGAGCCCGACGCAGCCAUGCCGCGUGUAUGAAGAAGGCCCUAGGGUUGUAAAGUACUUCCAGUCUGUAGGCGUUACCGACAGAAGAAGCACCGGCUAACUCCGUGCCAGCCGCCGCGGUAAUUC
rnacentral:rRNA from 1 species